UCCGGAUUCACAGCGUGAAACAAGGGGUACUACCUGGUAGUAUCAAUUUUCAUAUGUAAAAAAAGCAAACAUUAUCUUAUCAGCACACGAGGAACAAAAAAAGUAAUAUAAAAAGUUAGGUGCAUACAUAAAAGCAAAAACUGAAACAAAGGAAACGUCCUAUGAUACAGCAACAGUGGAGAAAUUUUUGGUAUAAGCCGAGUGAAAUGGUUUAUAAUCACUAAAAAUGAUCCCUGUUAGUACAGCUAUGUGGAAAAGCAUAUACAUCUGAUCUGAUUUUAUAUAAAAAUACAAAAGUUAUUAAGACUGUAAUUAUCAAAAAAAA